AAACGCUGGGUUAUUUUAAUAACCCAAUUGCUGGGUUAAGGCUGUUGGGUUAUAGGUUGGGUAGAUUUGACCCAACGUUGGGUCAAAGAUUGUGACCCAACACGAUGGGUUAAAUGAAAGCGAGGCUCGUUCUUCCGCCAUUUCUGGACAGAAGGCGCCAGGACGUCAACGACCAUAGCUGCCGGAUUCAAGUCCCAGCCCCGAACCGGCUGCCUUCAGAGCAACACAGAGCUUCUUUGGAACAAGGAGCAACAUUUAAUAUCCAUGAGAUCCUUAAGACAGCUGAUGGAAAAUGCAUGGUUAGUGGUCCUGAGGAACAGAAUCACAUAAAUAAUGAAAGACGUGCCAUGGUCCGGAUACUUGUGUCCCACUAGUUGUGUGCUUUGGAGAGAAGACGACGCAUGGUUCACCCCAGGGAGAGGGCAUAAACCCACAACAGGCUUUCUGGAAGAGCAUCUCCGUAAUGUCUGAAAAAGACUCCACUCUGGCAGACGAGUACAUUUAACAUCACAAGUGCCACAAGACACCAGAGUCAUUUUACCAGAACCAACUAGAACUCCAGAGCGGUUCAUCCAGUUGACGGAGUGACUGAAGAAUAACAUCUGGCCACAGUCCCAGGUUGGCCAACACAUGCUGGAGACUGCCAUCCAUAGGGCACAGUGGAUCCCAUCACUGGGACUACAUCAAUGCUAGACAUUAUCACAGAGUUUCCAUGCUUAGUGGACACUCCAGGCAUGGUGAGCUAGAAUCUUACAAAAUAAAAUGUUGUGUUGUGGUGCUGGGAUUGUUGUUCAAUGUCAACUUUGUGCUAAAUUUUGGGAGUUCAUCUAGACUACCGUCUUUCAGAUACCAGGACUUGAAUCAAACACUGUCAAAUUAAUGAGAGCUCAGAUUGCUAGUUGAUAGUUCAAUGCAUGAAGUUUGAGAAAUUGUGACUAUUUUGUCCGUUUAAUGAUGUGAUAAGUAGAGAUGCACCGAUUUCAACUUACUAGGCUGUUUCAAAUUUCCAAUUUUUCAUUGAGUUUGAUCUGCCGAUAUCGAUUUUAGCCGAUUCCAAUUUCAUAUUUUCUAACGACUUUC